GAUUGCAGUGGCUCCAAGUCUUGGGAAAACCAUGUGUGGAGCACAAGCAGUCUGUCCACACUGAAAAUUUUGAGCUCAAGCAUACCUGCAGCACAACACAUCUGCUGAACAAUGCAGCUCCAAUUCCUGCAGAUAAACGAACUUCAGGCACAUACCACAGAGCAUUUCUGUGACUACACAACUGUGUUAUAACUGACUGAAUUGUGGUAAAGUGGCUUACAGCAGGAAAGGAAACACAACUGGCACAUCUGAGUCAAGCGUGUUAACUGAUGUGAUGAGCAAUGUGAACAAGUAUUUUAAGAUGUUUUUGGCAAGGAAAAGAUGUGGUGGGAAUAAUGACUGUAUAUAAGGUUUAUAAUUACUGUUAAUCACUUACUUGAAGAGGACAGUUGUUGUGGGUAUGGGAAAAGUGUAAGAUGACAGAGGUGAGAUAGAAAGAGAAAAGUUGUUAACCUAUUCUGUUACUAACAGAGGUAAUAGCAUUACUCAAGAAAAUAAAUGCAUAUACUAGUAUGCUAAUAAUGACACAAAGUUAUGCUAAUAUAUUCCAUAUUUCCAUAUUUACAGGGACACCAUCCACACCACCCAUGACAGUCCAGCAAUCUGGAAGGAAGACCAGCACAAUACCACAGCAAUUGAUGCAAAGAGCAGCAGAUUUCCUGCCUCCCAGGAUGUUGUAAUUUUUCACUGGACAUCAAUGAUAUGGUUUGAUUAGUGUGACAGUGGAGGACAAGGAGGAAGAGGAGGAGGCAGCUUGCUGUAGCAGUAUAUUAUCACAGUCCUAAAAGGAUUACAGUAAGCACUGCAUUUCUCGUUGAGAAACAUUUUGUUAGCAGGAGCAACAAACUCUGGCAGUCCUGUAAAGGAAGUUACUUUAAGGCAAUAUAUCUCAUGUAAUGAGUAUCAUCAAAGAUUUGUUUAAUUUUUACCAGGAUUCUGAUUCCAUUAUUGGAGGCAAGGAUACUAGUGAACAUGACAAAAGUUUGAAACUUGGAAACCAUGCAUUUUUGUUUGUGAUUAAAGAACUGAGAAAUGGAAAUUUUUUAGGUUAUUCCUUUUAUCUGGGAAAGACUGAUAUUAUGCAGAGUGUGAGAAUGAUGACAUGUUCAUUAGGCUUAAGACAUUGAUACUUAAGUAACUGCACUUUUUUUUCUUCCUCUGACCAAGAGGGAAUACAAUGUUCUUCUCUUGGAAUCUUGACAUGUUUGCCGUCAAUGGUAAAUGGAUCCGUUUCUCGGAUGAUUCACCGAAGCUUUUGAAGAGACUCGGUAACACUAUUGUGAAGGAGAAAAGUAAAGUACAUACAGGGUAAUGUAAUUAAAUGAUGAACGUUUAAUUUUCAAUGAUCAUCAGCUUAAAAAUAUGAGACUUGCUCCUAACUGGUAAAUUCAACAUGUGUAGGAUUUUCAAGUAAUGAACAGAAUAGACACACAUUCCAUGGUAGGCUUACUGCCACAAGAAGCUGUCCUUAUUGCAGUAUAGGCAUGUAUAUCAGGUGCAUAGAUCCUUUUCAUUAUUGAAAUAGUUUAGUUACUCUUCAUUUUGAUGAUGUAUAUUGCUAAAUCUUGUAAAAUUUGCAAGGAAUGCAAGAACACCAUGGAAACUGUGCCAUUCACACACUGUAACAAGACAGCACUUCAGGUGCUGUGGCACAACUGGUCUUUGUUCAGUUCCCUUACCUUAGUUAUUAAUUAGAUGAACCAUACUUCCUUGACAAGACCACACUUCCUUGACAAGAUUAAGACUUGGAUUACCCACUGACUUCAGUUCCUAACUCUAAAUUUGAAGAUACAGUGAUGGCAUCAGACUACUUCUACCUCAUAAUCUUUUCCAUGUAACUGAUUGUGCCUGAAGAAGAUUUUUGAGCCUCAUGAAUGUCAAAUGACAAGGAUAUUUUGUCAGAUACCAGCCAUCAGUUAGACAGCAGCAGUGAGGCAGAUUAGAUUUAUGAUUUUACGUGGCCUUUUCACUUCCCAAUGAGGAAAAAAAGUGUAUUUUCUUUACCAGUCAUAAGUUUGUGUUGCCUUUGCAUGUGUUUCAACAACUAACCAAAAGCUUUAGUUUAAUGAAACUUCGAGUAUUUUAUAUCCUUAAAUAGGAAAUGGGAAGAAAUAAACAUGAAAAGUUGAAUAGUAAAUUUGCAUACAGUACACAGAUAUGCCCACAAAAUUUCUUUCUAGUUGUUUUUGUUUUUUUCACUGUAUUCUUGCAACAAUUCUGCUCUUGUCCUACUGUCUCACUGCAUGUCCCAUGUCCAAGCUCAGGAUGCUGUAUUUUAUCCUGCAUAUAAUGUUUCAUCAGGUUUGUGCUCUUUUUUACAGCAUAUGCAAAAAUUAUUUAAAUUCUGCAUGUUUACUUUGUGGUGACAUAAAUGCUUCUCUUCUCUGAAAUUUUCUUUGGCUAGUUACAUGUUAUUAACAAUAUAUCUUUAGCUGCCAUAUGCCCACUGUAUAUCCUUACUUUAGUGUUGUUGUUGUUGUUGUUGUUGUUGUAUGCAGUUCUGAGUUGCCAUGUCAUUUGUUCUGAUAUGGAAGUCUUUGUGUUCUCUGUUAGGUGGUGUAGCCUUGCUAUGUUGACUCUGUUACCUCCUGAUGUACAUUCAAAAAGUCGAUAUGGGUAGAUAUUAAGGAAGGAUCACAGUCAGCAGUACUGGGAGUAGUGUACAGGCCACCAAACAGUACAAGGGAAAUUAACACCUCAGUGUGGCAGGAAAUAAAUAGAGCAGGAAGGUACAGUCUGGUAUGUGUGAUAGGAGAUUUUAAUUUUAGGAAUAUCAACUGGAGCCUGAUGGUGGGUAACAAGGAAUCAGAGGAAUUUCUUAAGGUAACUCAGAAUAAUUUUUUAAAAACAGGUAGUCGUUGAACCCACAAGGGGGAACAAUAUUAUACUAACAGGGAGAAAGCAGUCAUGCAGAUAGAGGUUGGAAGGCAGCUAGGUAACAGUGACCAUUAGGAAAUUAGGUACAAAUUAAAAUGGGAAGAAACUUUUAGAAGCAAAAACACUAUUAAAAUACCUGACUUUAGGAGAGGAGUUGACUGGCAACAGAUGCAGAGUGAGGUCAGGUCUGGGACAGAGUUGAGAGAGAUAAGGCAGGAUGAGAGAGGUGAGGUGAGGUAUGAGGGUGCAGGACAAGAGGAGGGAAGAUGUGUCCAGAAGGGGCUGAGGAGAGAGAGAGAGAGAGAGGGUGAGAUAGAUGUGAGUAUGUUGGAGGGUCAGGUCAUACUGAAAUGGGAGAAGUGAGGUUGAGGUGAGUAGAUGAGGGAGUAGAGAGGAUGGAAGGGGCCAAAAUGAGGGAAUUAGGUGAAGUAAAUGUAAAUGAGUUGUAUAAAUAUUUUGUAGACAAACUGCAUAUAGGACAGUUAGCAAACAUCCCGUAUAGAGCAAUAAGAUCACAAAAAAAAUUACCCUAAAUGGAUGACUACUAGGUUAAAACAUUAUACAGGAUGGAAGAGAAGUAUAUAUAAGAGAUUAAGGGAAGGUGAAGAGGUUUCAGGACCACAAUGUAAUGAAUUAGUUAUAAGUCAGGAGGUUACCAAGGGCAAUUAUGAAUUAAAGGUAGCCAGCCAGGUGAAGACGGACCCCAGGGGAUUUUAUCAGUAUACAGGAUGAAGAAUAAAGAUACUAUAGGUCCACUAGAGGCAGCACAUGGGGUGCUGGUUAGUUCUGGGGAGAAGAUAUUAAAAUUCUGAAUGAGUAUUUUUUGACUGUCUUCACCCAGGAAAACAUGCAGGAUAUGCCAAAUUGUGAACAGAUGUUUAAAGCAAAUGAGAAUGAGAAGCUGAUAGAUAUCUUCAUAACUAAGGAGAUAGUGGAACAGGAGAUAGAUAAGCUAAAAAGUUCAAGACACCAGGACCAGAUGAAAUAUGUGCCAGAGUACUUAAGGAAUGCAGAGGUUAUUAGUGAGCCAUUAGUCUCUGGCUUUAGGAAAUCACUUGAGUCAGGUGAGGUACCAGUAAUGUGGAGGCAAGCUAAUGUAGUACCCAUCUUUAAGAAAGGAGUUAAAACUUUACCAUCUAAUUAUAGACCUGUCAGCUUAACUUCAGUUGUGGGUAAAAUAUUGGAGUCAAUAAUAGCGAGGAACAUAAAGGAGUAUUUAGACAAACAUAACUUGAUAAAUCAGUCACAGCACAGCUUCAUGAAGGAGAAGUCUUGCCCGACGAACUUGUUAAGUUUUUACAGUAAAGUGUACAAGGCAGUAGAUAAUGGUGAUAGUUACGACAGCUUAUAUCUGAACUUUAGUAAAGCUUUUGACAAGGUACCCCACCAGAGGCUCCUAAGAAAGGCUAGGGCACACAGGAUAGAUAGGAAGGUGUUAGGCUGGAUAAGGUCAUGGCUAAGCAACAGGUGACAAAGAGUUGUAAUAAAUGGCUCUAAAUCCAAGUGAGGUCAUGUAAUUAGUGGGGAUGCCACAGGGAUCAGUAUUAGGGCCACUGUUGUUAAUAUAUAUCAAUGAUUUGGAUAGUGGAAUUAGUAGUGAUCUUAGUAAAUUUGCAGGCAAAGAUUGGUAGAUUAAUUAUGUCAGAAUCAGAUGCCAUCUACUUGCAGGCAGAUUUAGAUAGGAUGAAUGAAUGGAUGGACAGAUGGCAAAUGCAGUUUAUUAACAAAUACAAAGUACUUAGCAUAGGUAGAGGAAACCCACACAGUAGGUACACAAUAAACAACGAAACUCUGGUAGGUUCAGGGUACGAAAAAUAUUUAGGAGUUAUAGUUAGCUCUGAAUUCCGUCUAGGAAAGCAAUGCAGAGGCCAGAAACAGGGAAAAUAGAAUAUUUGGAUUAAUUUUUAGAAGUGUUAAAAGUAGAAAGCCUGAAGUUAUUAAAUUAAAGUUAUAUUUGGCGCUGGUCAAACCUCAUCUAGACUACACUGUGCAGUUCUGGUCCCCAUAUUACAGGAAAGAUAUAGGUCUAUUAGAAUCAGUACAGAGGAGAAUGACUAAAAGGAUACAGGGGACGAAGAGUAUUCCUUACGAUGCAAGAUUAAAGUUGUUAAAUUUACAUUCUUUUAGAGAGACAUGGGUUAAGAGGGGACCUGAUAGAAGUCUUUAAGUGGUAUAAGGGUUAUAACAAGGGGGAUGUAAGCAAAAUUCUUAGGAUCAGCAACCAGGAUAGAACAAGAAAUAAUGGGUUCAAGCUUCAAAAAUUUUAGUUUAAGAGAGAUAGGAAGAAAUUGGUUCCCAAAUAGAGUGGUAAAUGAGUGGAAAAGACUCAGUAAUCAUGUUGUUAGUGCUAAGACAUAAGGGAGCUUUAAGAGAAGAUUAGACAGGUUUAUGGAUGAGGAUGAUAGGUGGAAAUAGGUACAUUUCAUACAGGGACUGCCACGUGUAAGCCUGAUCACUUCUUGCAGCUUCCCUUAUUUCUUAUGUUCUUAAUACUGCAAUGUCUCUUGGUGUUGCUGUAUAUUAUAUAUGUAUGCUAUAGGAGAGUGAUGACUUUUGUGUGAUCUCUUAAUGCAACUAACCAUGUGUUCUGUCUUGUAAGGCAUUAGUGUUUGAUAAACACCUUGAUGUUGCCAAAUGUCUGUGCAGGUGUGGGAAAAAAAAAAUGCCUCUUAUGAAUGCUGCUGUCUUUCAUAGUAACACCUUGGUUUUAUUUUCUGCCCUGUGUUACACAUCUAGUGUGUCUUGUACUGUUUUUCAUGCUUUAUACGCAGCACAUACUUGCUAAAAUUUCAGAAUACCUGCUGUUAUACUACUAAUAUAAAUAAAACAUUAAUAGUAUAUCCUCAAGUUAUUUGUUAUUCACCUAUUACAACUACUAAAAAUAAAAAUACAUUUAUUUUUGAGAGCAUUCACAUGUGGCCUACAGUACCUGGCAGCUGUCAAUCAAUAUCUUGAUCUGAAAGGUUCUGGAUAAAAGAAUUUAAUACAUUCUUUUCAUCAUUAUAAAUUAUGCUUAAAGUUGGGGCUUGAAUUUUCGAUGUUUGAACGUAAAUAACACGAAGUUAACUACUUAAGGAAGAAAUACGUAAUAAAAAAGAGAAUAAGAUGUGUUACAAAAAUAAAAGCUGCAACACAAGGAACUAUCAGCAGCUUCAUCUCGUCACGCAGUAUUCUGUACGUGAGGCGCACUGAGCCACGAUCAUUCCAAUUUGAAAAUCUUGUUCUUUGCACCAAACGGAAUAUAUGCACUACAUUUACUCGUACUCUAAUGAAACUCUAACACACACACACACACACACACACACACAACCCAGCCGACAGGGAGGGCGCAUCAGGAAGGCAUGGGUGGUGGGGGUGCCUGGCCAUAAAUACGUGUUUUAUCCUCCAUGAACUGUGUGGAGCCCCGGCUCAUCAUCACUAUUAUCUAUGACUGCACCCUCACUGUGGCCAUUCAUUCAAACGCAGUCCAUCAGUUCCCUAAUUUUCAGUCAUGGUAGUAGUAUCGCCAUGAAAGCUUCACUGAUCAUCACAAGUCACAUUCCACGUUUCCAUCAUGCAUAUCAACCCUCGGAAACUACGAUAUGGGAUAUGAAACUUUGUGGCCUGGUCAUACAGUACUCAAGACCGCGAGAGGCUGCCGCCAUGACAGCCUGACCCUCCCGCCGCAUCCCAUGAUUCCACAGCACAGCACACUGCACACGUCACUGCCUCGUCCUCACCCUGGCCAGGAGUGC